rnacentral:rRNA from 1 species
UUAGGUGACUCUUGCAACGGGGAACCACCUCUUACCAUUCCGAACAGAGAAGUUAAGCCCGUUAGCGCCGAUGGUACUGCAUUUGUGGGAGAGUAGGUCGUCGCCAAUU